rnacentral:rRNA from 1 species
UAAGGAAUAUUGCUCAAUGGGAGAAAUCCUGAAGCAGCAACGCCGCGUGGAGGAUGAAGGGUCUAUGACUUGUAAACUCCUGUAAAGAAGGAAAAAAUUCCCAUUAGAUGGGAGAUGAUGGUACUUCUGGAGUAAGCCCCGGCUAACUACGUGCCAGCAGCCGCGGUAAUACGUAGGGGGCAAGCGUUGUCCGGAUUUACUGGGUGUAAAGGGUGCUCAGGCGGAUUUGUAAGUCAGAGGUGAAAUCUUACAGCUUAACUGUGAAACUGCCUUUGAUACUGCAAGCCUAGAGUAUGGAAGAGAGUGAUGGAAUAUCUGGUGUAGCAGUGAAAUGCGUAGAUAUCAGAUAGAACACCAAUGGCGAAGGCAGUCACUUGGUCCAUUAC